AUGGACAAAAUUGCCUCUGAGCUUCAAAGAAUAUGGAGACUGGAGGAAAUUAAGUCCAGACAAAGGUCCAGGGAGAGAAAUAUCUUAGAGGGGGGUAGGAAUACUGCCUAUUUUCAGGCUAUUGCAAAUCAUAGGAGGAGGAAGAAGCAGAUUAGUAUGUUGGUUGGUCCUAAUGGCCCUGUAGAAACCAAUAAAGAUAUUAUGGAUAUUGCUAUAGAUUAUUACAAGAAGCUUUUUGGCAGAGAGGAUACCUUAGACAUUUCUCUAGAUGAUGAAUUUUGGGAUCCUUCUGAAAAAGUUUCUGAUGAACAUAAUAAGGUUCUAGAUGCUGAUAUUACUGAAGAGGAUGUUAGGAAAGCUGUUUUUGGUUCUUAUGCUGAAGGGGCACCUGGCCCUGAUGGAUUUCCCUUCCUCUUCUAUCAGCACUUCUGGACAACCAUUAAGGAUGAUUUUAUGUUAAUGGUGGAUGCCUGGAAUAAUAAUUCCUUGGAUCUUUUUAGAUUAAAUUUCUCUUUAUUAAGACUCAUUCCAAAAGAACCUGGGGCUGAUACUAUUCAAAAAUUUAGGCCUAUUGCUUUGUCCAAUUGUAGCUUUAAGAUUUUUGCUAAGUGUGUGGCCAAUCAACUGGGUGAUGUUGGAGAUGAGAUUAUUUCACAAAACCAAACUGCUUUUAUUAAAGGCAGAUUUAUUGUGGAAAGUGUGGUAUCAGCUCAUGAGAUUAUUCAUGCCGCUGUAAUUCACAAUAAAGAAGGUUUUGUUUUUAAGUUAGAUUAUAAGAAAGCCUAUGAUAGAGUUAGCAAGGAAUUCCUCCUGAAAGCUAUGUACCAAAGGGGUUUUAGCCCUAGAUGGAUGGAGAGAGUUAAGCCCAUUUUGUUUAAAGGUUUAGUGGGUGUUAGGAUUAAUGAUUGUAAUAGUGAUUUUUUGAGACCUUUAAAGGGGUGA
rnacentral:rRNA from 1 species